ACAUCAUCUGUGUCUUUGUGUUUCCGUGCCAGCUGAAUUCAGGUUCUGUACUUUCGGUUUUGCAGUCGCUUGCGUCUCAGGAGGAGAAGGAGGGAGUGAUCGGCAGACUGCUAGGAGAUCACUGACUGCCGCCCUGGGAGACAUCAAGGGAGAGAAUCCCACCAGCCUGACAGGAUUGGAGGAGUCUUUGAUGUUUCCCCACCAACCCACCCGGGAUGACUGUCGGCAGCUUUUACAGGUCCUCUUCUGUAACAUGAGGGCCGGGCUCGUUGGGGUUUCAGUCCUGCCCAGUUCCCACAGCUGGCAAGUCCCAAAGAAUAUCACACAGAGGUCUCCAGAAGAUUAUAAACUGAUUGGCCCAUUAGCUCAGGCUUUGUAUUAGCUCUUAUAACUUAUAUUAACCCAUUAUUCUUAACUAUGUUAGCCACAUGACUUGGUACCUUUUUCAGUGGGGCAGGUCACAUCCUGCUUCUUCAGUGAGCUGGGAAGGACUGGGGAAGAGCUUCCUUCUUCCCAGAGUACUUCUGUUCUCAUUGCCCCACCUCUACUUCCUGUCUGGUUGUCCCACCUAUACUUCCUGCCUGGCCAAUCAGCGUUUAUUUAAAACAUGAUUAACAGAAUACAGACAAUUCUCCCACACCACUCUUCACUUCUGAAGAGAAAGAGAGGAUCCUGUUGGAGGCCUUGAAAAACGUACCCAGAGCAAAUGGGGCACCAACCAAUCUUCCAAAUGAAACAGAUGUGGGGAUUCCCCUUAACCGACCUGGUUGCGACUUCAAUAUGGCAGCAGGUAGGGUGCUGCUCACGGUCUAUUUUCUUUUGUUGACCACGCUCCCCCUGCUGUCCUCAAUCCCACUACCCUACUGCCCGAGGCUGAUUGACACCUCAUCUACCCAUCACUGCACUGACAUUCUGGCAGAAGAAGCUGGUACCUGAAAUGAUCUGAAGGAUCAGCCUUGGCCUGGGAGUCCGAGCUGGUAUACUGACGGCAGCAGUUUCGUGGUUGAAGGUAAGCGGAAGGCGGGGGCAGCAGUGGUGGAUGAGAAGCAAGUGAACUGGGCCAGUAGCCUCCCUUAAGGGACAUCGGCCCUGAAAACCAAACUUGUGGCUUUGAUACCAGCUCUACGGAUGGCAGAGGGGAAGUCUAUCAACAUCUACACUGACAGCAGGUGUACAUCUGCCACUGCCCAUAUACACGGGGCAAUAUACAGACAGAGAGGACUGUUAACAUCUGCAGGAAAAGACAUAAAAAAUAAGAAAUUUUGAGCCUCCUCGAGGCCAUACAUUUGCCAAGGAAGGUAGCCAUCAUACAUUGUCCGGGACACCAAAAAGCCCGAGAUGCUGUGGCUAAAGGAAAUCAGAUGGCAGACCUAACCAUGAAACAGGCAGCCCAAGGAGCAAUAAUCCUGGCAGUCAAAGAGCCUAAAGAUUAUCAUGAUAUCGGUGAAACCAACGUUAGAUACACCCCCAGGACCAUCAAGUUAUGGGGAAAUGAGGACCGGUAAAGGAAACCCAUACGGGGCAGUAGAGACAGAAGGAGGAAAGCUAGUCCUCCCACGAAAGAACAACACAAGUAUGUUACCAACUUACAUUACCUGACCCCCUUGGGGACCAAGAAACUAAAGAUGUGGUUAGGUCCUCCGACUAAUAUGUUAUGGGACUCUCUGACUUGGCAAAAGAAGUAGUUAAAGCUGCAAGGCCUGUGCUAUGACUAAUGCAGGACACUCCAUAUAUACUCCUGGGAAGAGGCUCAGGGGCGACCAACCUGGGGCCUACUGGGAAGUAGAUUUUACAGAAAUUAAGUCAGCCAGGUAUGGUAACAACUACUUAUUAGUUUUUAUAGAUACUUUUUCAGGCUGGGCAGAAAGCUUUUCCUACCAGGACUGAGAUGGCCAAUGUGUAGCUAAGAAGAUCAUAGAAGAAAUUUUUAAGAGGUUUGGGAUACCCAAGGUAAUCGGGUCUGAUAAUGAACCUGCCUUUUGUUGCCCAGGUAAGUCAGGAACUGGCCACCCAACUGGGGAUCGUUGGAAAUUGUGCUUACUGACCCCAGAGCUCAGGUCAAAUAGAAAGAAAGAAUAGAACCCUAAAAGAGAUACUGACAAUAUCAGCAGGAAUGACUGGAUACCCCUCCUUCCCUUUGCCCUGUUCUGGGUUCGGAACACCCCAGGGCGAUUUAAACUUACCCCUUAUAAGAUCCUAUGUGGGGGACCGCCACCACUCACUGAGUUGGGUGAAGUGUAUAAUCCUGAUGCUAUUCUUUCUAGACCUUUAUUUGCCAGCCUAAAGGCCCUUGAAGUGGUGAGACACCAGAUCUGGGAACAACUGAAAGAAGUAUGCAUCUCUGCCUGGAUCCAAACCUCCCAUGUGAAGCAAGCUCCUGAACUACCCAAAUUACAGUAUCGGGGCUUUUAACACCACCACCAGUCAGGAUGCUUGUGUUUAGGAGGCUAAUCAUAGGCUGACUCUUUUUUUUUUUUUUUUUUU